AUACGUAGGGGGCGAGCGUUGUCCGGAAUUACUGGGCGUAAAGGGCGUGUAGGCGGUUUUUUAAGUUAGAAGUGAAAACUCGGGGCUUAACCCCAAGACUGCUUCUAAAACUGGGAGACUUGAGUGCAGGAGAGGAAGGUAGUAUCCCUGGUGUAGCGGUGAAAUGCGUAGAUAUCAGGAGGAAUACUCGUGGCGAAGGCGGCCUUCUGGCCUGUAACUGACGCUGAGGCGCGAAAGCGUGGGGAGCAAACAGGAUUAGAUACCCUGGUAGUCCACGCCGUAAACGAUGAGUGCUAAGUGUUGGAGGUAUCGACCCCUUCAGUGCUGCAGUUAACGCAUUAAGCACUCCGCCUGGGGAGUACGGUCGCAAGACUGAA
rnacentral:rRNA from 1 species